CUUUCAGUUAGGUGUUCACGUC
rnacentral:miRNA from 1 species